rnacentral:rRNA from 1 species
UACGUAGGGUGCAAGCGUUGUCCGGAAUUAUUGGGCGUAAAGAGCUCGUAGGCGGUUUGUCGCGUCUGCUGUGAAAUCCCGAGGCUCAACCUCGGGUCUGCAGUGGGUACGGGCAGACUAGAGUGUGGUAGGGGAGAUUGGAAUUCCUGGUGUAGCGGUGGAAUGCGCAGAUAUCAGGAGGAACACCGAUGGCGAAGGCAGAUCUCUGGGCCAUUACUGACGCUGAGGAGCGAAAAGCAUGGGGAGCGAACAGG